GGUGGGCUUGCCCGGCUUCAAGGUGUCGUCGUGGAUGGGCGCGCUCGCGCCGGUGCAGACGCCGGCGCCCAUCG
rnacentral:tRNA from 1 species